rnacentral:rRNA from 1 species
UGGCGAACGGGUGAGUAACGCGUGAGGAACCUGCCUCAAAGAGGGGGGAAACAGUUGGAAACGACUGCUAAUACCGCAUAAGCCCACGACCCGGCAUCGGGUAGAGGGAAAAGGAGCAAUCCGCUUUGAGAUGGCCUCGCGUCCGAUUAGCUAGUUGGUGAGGUAAUGGCCCACCAAGGCGACGAUCGGUAGCCGGACUGAGAGGUUGAACGGCCACAUUGGGACUGAGACACGGCCCAG